AACGAGAACAGAAAUCUCGUG
rnacentral:sRNA from 1 species